rnacentral:rRNA from 1 species
UACGUAGGUGGCAAGCGUUUAUCCGGAUUCACUGGGUUUAAAGGGUGCGUAGGUGGGCUAGUAAGUCCGUGGUGAAAUCUCUGAGCUUAACUCGGAAACUGCCGUGGAUACUAUUAGUCUUGAAUAUUGUGGAGGUAAGCGGAAUAUGUCAUGUAGCGGUGAAAUGCUUAGAUAUGACAUAGAACACCGAUAGCGAAGGCAGCUUGCUACACAAUUUAUUGACACUGAGGCACGAAAGCGUGGGGAUCAAACAGG